CCUACGGGGCGCAGCAGUCGAGAAUCAUUCACAAUGGGGGAAACCCUGAUGGUGCGACGCCGCGUGGGGGAAUGAAGGUCUUCGGAUUGUAAACCCCUGUCAUGUGGGAGCAAAUUAAAAAGAUUGUACCACAAGAGGAAGAUACGGCUAACUCUGUUCCAGCAGCCGCGGUAAUACAGAGGUCUCAAGCGGUGUUCGGAAUCACUGGGCGUAACGGGUGCGUAGGCUGGUUCGGAAGUCGGGUGUGAACGGCGCGGGCUCAACCCGCGGACGGCACAUGAUACUGCGAGACGAGAGGAAUGGAGGGGGAACCGGAAUUCUCGGUGUAGCAGUGAAAUGCGUAGAUAUCGAGAGGAACACUCGUGGCGAAGGCGGGUUCCUGGACAUUAACUGACGCUGAGGCACGAAGGCCAGGGGAGCGAAAGGGAUUAGAUACCCCUUGUAGUC
rnacentral:rRNA from 1 species